AUGACGCCGCAUAGCCGGGAAGAUCUGCGGAGGUGGACACCCGACUCUGACCAGCGGAGAAAUGCCUGGGCUCUAACUGCGGCCAGGCUUUAGUGGGGCAGGAAAGAGAGGCAAAGAUACUCAACCAGCUUUAGCAUUUACUGUGGACAAACAAGAGAAGGUCCAAGAGGAUUUAGAUCCCCUUGCAGAGCCUCUUUGGGAAUGAAGAGUUAUGGCAGCAGAUUCCACAAGUCCCACAUCCUGCUUGUGACCAUGUGGAUGUAAAGGACCUUAUAAAGAUGAACAUUAAGGGAAUCCACAAGAUGAUCAGAUAAGGACCCAGACUAUUGGUGAUUCUAAACAAAGAUGAGUGGUAAUGACGACUGUAUUUCUCUGGACUUCCUGCUGGCCAAUAUAGGCAAUACAUGGG